rnacentral:rRNA from 1 species
UGGGGAAUUUUGGACAAUGGGCGAAAGCCUGAUCCAGCAAUGCCGCGUGUGUGAAGAAGGCCUUCGGGUUGUAAAGCACUUUUGUCCGGAAAGAAAUCCUUGGCUCUAAUACAGUCGGGGGAUGACGGUACCGGAAGAAUAAGCACCGGCUAACUACGUGCCAGCAGCCGCGGUAAUACGUAGGGUGCAAGCGUUAAUCGGAAUUACUGGGCGUAAAGCGUGCGCAGGCGGUUUGCUAAGACCGAUGUGAAAUCCCCGGGCUCAACCUGGGAACUGCAUUGGUGACUGGCAGGCUAGAGUAUGGCAGAGGGGGGUAGAAUUCCACGUGUAGCAGUGAAAUGCGUAGAGAUGUGGAGGAAUACCGAUGGCGAAGGCAGCCCCCUGGGCCAAUACUGACGCUCAUGCACGAAAGCGUGGGGAGCAAACAGGAUUAGAUACCCUGGUAGUCCACGCCCUAAACGAUGUCAACUAGUUGUUGGGGAUUCAUUUCCUUAGUAACGUAGCUAACGCGUGAAGUUGACCGCCUGGGGAGCACGGUCGCAAGAUUAAAACUCAAAGGAAUUGACGGGGU